UUCCGGUUGAUCCUGCCGGACCUGACUGCUAUCGGAUUGAUACUAAGCCAUGCGAGUCUUUGCAGUAAUGCAAGGCAUACGGCUCAGUAACACGUAGUCAACUUACCCUAUGGACGAGGAUAAUCUCGGGAAACUGAGCAUAAUACUCGAUAGAUCAUAAUGCCUGGAAUGGUUUAUGGUUAAAAUGAUUCGUCGCCAUAGGAUGGGACUGCGGCCUAUCAGCUUGUUGGUGAGGUAAUGGCCCACCAAGGCGAUUACAGGUACGGGCUCUGAGAGGAGAAGCCCGGAGAUGGGUACUGAGACAAGGACCCAGGCCCUAUGGGGCGCAGCAGGCGAGAAAACUUUGCAAUGUGCGAAAGCACGACAAGGUUAAUCCGAGUGAUUUCUGCUAAAGAAAUCUUUUGCAAGUCAUAAAACCACUAGUGAAUAAGGGGUGGGCAAGUUCUGGUGUCAGCCGCCGCGGUAAAACCAGCACCUCAAGUGGUCAGGAGGAUUAUUGGGCCUAAAGCAUCCGUAGCCGGCUCUGUAAGUUUUCGGUUAAAUCCAUGUGCUCAACGCAUGGGCUGCCGAAAAUACUGCAUAGCUAGGGAGUGGGAGAGGUAGACGGUACUCGGUAGGAAGGGGUAAAAUCCUUUGAUCUAUCGAUGACCACCUGUGGCGAAGGCGGUCUACCAGAACACGUUCGACGGUGAGGGAUGAAAGCUGGGGGAGCAAACCGGAUUAGAUACCCGGGUAGUCCCAGCUGUAAACGAUGCAGACUCGAUGAUGCAUUGGCAUAUAGCCAGUGCAGUGUCGCAGGGAAGCCGUUAAGUCUGCCGCCUGGGAAGUACGUACGCAAGUAUGAAACUUAAAGGAAUUGGCGGGGGAGCACCACAAGGGGUGAAGCCUGCGGUUCAAUUGGAUUCAACGCCGG
rnacentral:rRNA from 1 species